rnacentral:rRNA from 1 species
ACCAGACUCCUACGGGAGGCAGCAGUGGGGGAUAUUGCACAAUGGGGGGAACCCUGAUGCAGCGACGCCGCGUGGGUGAAGAAGCGCCUCGGCGCGUAAAGCCCUGUCAGCAGGGAAGAAAAUGACGGUACCUGAAGAAGAAGCCCCGGCUAACUACGUGCCAGCAGCCGCGGUAAUACGUAGGGGGCAAGCGUUAUCCGGAUUUACUGGGUGUAAAGGGGGCGCAGACGGCGAUGCAAGCCAGGAGUGAAAGCCCGGGGCCCAACCCCGGGACUGCUCUUGGAACUGCGUGGCUGGAGUGCAGGAGGGGCAGGCGGAAUUCCUGGUGUAGCGGUGAAAUGCGUAGAUAUCAGGAGGAACACCGGUGGCGAAGGCGGCCUGCUGGACUGCAACUGACGUUGAGGCCCGAAAGCGUGGGGAGCAAACAGGAUUAGAUACCCGUGUAAA